rnacentral:lncRNA from 1 species
GUCCUGCAACAGCGAGCGCCUCAAGCUCUGGGAAAUCAGGGACCUGGUGACGGAGCUGGACGCCAACUGGCCGACGCUGGCGUGCAAGGGCGGGAAGAGCUUCGAGUUCUGGACCCACGAGUGGGAGAAGCACGGCACCUGCUCCAACCUGGACCAGCACGGCUACUUCGCGACGGCGCUCGGCUUCAAGGCCCGCCACAACCUCACCAGCAUCCUCGCCGACGCCGGGAUCGUGCCGUCCGACACCGAGACCUACUUCCUCAGCAGCAUCAGGGACGCCAUCAGGGAGGGGACCGGGUUCACGGCGAACCUGGAGUGCAACCGUGGCGUCGACGGCGAGACGCAGCUGUUCCAGGUGUACCAGUGCAUCGACCGCGACGGGGAGAACCUCAUCGACUGCCCGCUGCCGAUGCAGGGCAACUGCAAAGACAGGGUCCAGCUGCCGGCCUUCUGAUUAAAUUUGAGUUCUAAUUGAACAUCCAUUGCCGCCGCCCGUCGGGGUGUGGCGGCUGAUUGGCUCGACGCGGCCGGCCAUCUGCACGGCGCGCGGCUGGAUUACGUGAUGGAUGUACCUUUGUGUUGGUUAUCGGUUCAGUUAAAAUUCCGUCCAGUCCUGAGUUCUGGACAUCGACGUAACGUUUUCUAUCAAUUCCUGAUCUCAACAGGCGAAUAAAGACUUCUAAUCUUGUCUUCCGAUUUUGCUCCACAUAUUCUGAACGAGGUCAAAAGAUGGAACAAAGUAUGUCACAAGUCACAACACUGAGUUGGGAUCUUUUGUUGUUUUUUCCAGAUGACCUUGAGUUGGCAUGGGUGCGUGCAUUCUUGGUGGGUAAGAGCAUCUAUAAUCGGAUCCCUCGUACGACGUCUUAAACAUUUGGACACCCCAUUUAAUCACCGCCUGAGUAAAAAAAAUUGAUCCAAAAAGACGCCUUAAACCGGACUCAAACGUCCGAGCUCACCGGGAUCCUCAUAUCCAACCCAAAUAUAGGUGGAUAUGAGGCUGCACGGACGUGUCCACGCACGCCCGUCAUGUCAGCCUGACCCAUCACCGAUCCCAUAAAUACCCCAGUCCGGAAACCCUAGACAUCGAUCACUUUAGUCUCUAUCCACUCCACUUUCAUGACCGGCGAGGAAGGAGCUUCGACGAAUCGAACAUAGAUGUGGAGGUGGAGCGUUGCACCAAUCGCUGCAGGGGUAAGGUGAGCCCAGCGGCGGCGGAUCUUCUUCCUCCGAGCCCUUCCCACCCGGCGUGCAGCUCCGACCGCUUCGCUUUGUUAGGUCAGGUAUGUUGCCCACCUCCACCACCGUCUGCUUCGGAAGCGGUGCCCAGACAUCGCUAGGUCCUCGUGCCCGCAUAACCCGCACGAGCGGCAGGGAGCAAGGGAGAGGGGGAAGGUCCUGGCCAUGCGUCGUUCGACCCCGAGCGCGCCGAUCGACCCUAAGGAUGCGCUCCUCGUCUUGGUCCUUCAUCGCUCUCCCACGACGACCGAGACAAAUGUGCACCGCUGAUACGUCUCCAACGUAUCUAUAAUUUUUAAUUGUUUCAUAUCGUUAUAUUGUCAUUCUUGGAUGUUUUAUAAUCAAUUGAUAUGAUUUCUUCGAACUAACCUAUUGACAUAUUGCCCAGUGUGAGUUGCUGUUUUUUGCUAUUUUUUUCCUCCACGAAAAAUCCAUAUCAGAUGAGGUCUAUUUGCCAUGAAGCUUUACAGAAAUGUUUUUGGACCAGAAGGAAACUUGGGAACCAAGAAUAAGCAGCAGACAAGGUCCAGGGGGCCACUAGACAUCAGGACCAGCUAGAGGUCCCUGGCGUGGCCUGGUGUCUAGUGGGGCCCUCAGGAACCUUCUCCACUGCAUGUGAGCUCUAUAAAUACCCCAAUAUUCAGCAAACCCUAGAGGAGUCAACGAAAAAUCAUUUCAUCCGUCGCAAGUUCCAGAGCCACGAAAUCUAAUCUAGAGCCCAUUCUAGAGAGGAACACGAUCACAGAGGGGUUCACCAUCCUCAUUGGUGCUCCUCCGAUGAUCUGUGAGUAGUUCAUAUAAGAUCUACGGGUCCGUAGGCAAUAGCUAGAUGUCUUUAUGUCUCGUUUUCUUUCUCAAUACAAUGGCCUCUUGGAGAUCCAUAUGAUGUAACUCUUUCUUUUGCGGUGUGUUUGUUGGGAUCCAAUGAAUUGCGAGUUUAUGAUGAGACCUAUGAAAAUAUAUUGAUGCUUGAUUAUUAUAGGUUCGUAUUUCUUCUCCGAUAUUUUUUUUGUUUAACCAACUUGAUCUUUUAUCUUGCAAUGGGAAGAUGUGCUUUGUGUUGAGUUUGACCUUGCGGUGCUCAAUCUCAUUGACGGAAAGAGACAUGACACACAUGUAUCGUUGCUAUCAAUGAUAAAAUGAUGGGGUCUAUUCCUACAUGAAUAGAUCUUCUCUACAUCAUGUCAUCGUUCUUAGGGCAUUACUCCAUUUCUCCAUGAACUCAAUACAUGUGACACCCGGAUGCCGAUGUUCUAGAAGAUUCCCCCAUUAUUCCGUUUUCGUCGUGUGUCUAUUUUUAUUUGUCGCAUCAUCAUCGCAUCAUGCGCAUCAUAUGCAUUGCAUCGGCAUCCCGUUGCCGCCAGUUUCCAAAACUUGCAUCUGUUGUUAGUUGCCGGUUCUCGUCGUUGUCCGUUCUGAGCCCGACCACACACGCACGCGCUCGCGGCAUCGUCAAAACCCUGUUUUAAAAGUGUGUAUAAAACUUUCUCUGUUUGGGUUGAGACGUGGCGUGCGGUAUUUAUAUAUUAUAGGUAGACCGCCUGUCAAAUUUCGUCGCAAUCGGAGUCCGUCUGGAACCCGAACGGUCGACCGUAGCGGCACCGUAUUCGGUCUAUCGUCGGACGUUUGUCGGUGUUUUUAAAUACGUUGCCGGGUGCCGGUUCCCUCUCUUCUCCGUCUAACCUACUCUACACGGCCACUUAGCUAGUCCCGCGUUCGGAAUUGUUCGAAUCCGACCGCGUGGUUGAAACCGGGGUGAAAUUCUGCUAAACCUAGCCCCCCAUUGUCUAUAAAUAGACACCUCCCCUUCCAUUUUUAGUCUCUCCCUAAUCCCUCCUUGUUUUCCGCGCAGCCCCCUCAAACCCUAGCUGCCAUCUCCUCCAGCAGCCUCUCUCUCUCCCCAGCCGCCGCAGGCCCGCCGAGCCCAUUCGAGGCCUGCCCGGGCCCGGAUCGCCCCGCAGCCGCGCUCCCUCCCGCAGCAUCCCCAUCACCGCGCUGCCUAGUCCUGGCUCGAAGCUGCCGUCGCCCAAGCCGAGCCGAGCAUGGAGCUUGAGCACCGGCCACACCUCCUCCUCGCUGGAAUCUCCUCAUCCCCGUCGUGCCCGACCUCGUCAACCUCGAGCCACCGGAGACCCGCGCCUCCAUGCNGAUCCGUCGGGAGGAGCCCCGUUGACCGCUCGCGAGAGCUCGGUCGCUCGCGUGGGCCAGCGCCCAGAUCCGGCCUGCAUCGCCUUCGGCCUGCUUCUGAGAUGGGCCAGAUCCGAGCCGGCCCACUACCUCCUCGCCGACCUGGGCUAGGCCCGAGGUGAGCACCUCCUCUUCCCUGCAAUCUAGCAGUGUGUUGUUUAGUUGAUUUGCGCCCAUGCUCAGUUCAACCCAUGUAUAGAUUCGGCCCGAAGGUUUUUUAAAAAAAUUCCUGAGCUAGUUAUUUUCAGGAGAUAUAGUAAUAUUAAAACGGGUGUAACUUUUUAACCGUGCGUCGGAUCGAGAUGAUCUAUAUAUGGAUCUUGUGUAGUUUUGCGCAUAGAUUCGCAAUUUACAACUUGCAUGCAUGUUUGAAGUGAUUUGACCCGCCAUAUGCCCAGUUUAGCAUGCUGUCCCAAUAGGGGAUCGUACCGUAUUAAUUUUUCGUGCGUGUCCGAAUUACUCAAACCCCGUACAUAAAAUGCUCAUGUUUUAGGAACCCUAUUGCCACGUAUUUUAGAAUAGUGGUUUGUAUUUUUUGCAUAUAGGAUUCUGUCGCUAGUUUAUUAUACCGUGUUUAGGACAUAUUCUCGCAUAUACGUGUGACGAUAUUUUUGUGUUGCAACCCCACAUGUUAUAUAUGUUUACGGGGUAGAAAAAUCCAUAGAAUUUAACUGUGUAUUUAGUUUAAGAUUUUGAGCAAGUUAGUUCGCAUGAUAUUUUGUCGUGUUGCCUUUUUGUUAUUUUCUGUGGGAUUUAAUCCGUGAUUGAUAUGAAGGAGUUGUCAACUAGAGAUAUGCUCUUGGAUGUUUAGUCUAGCCUCUGGUAAUUUUGGUUGCAAUAGUAAUCCAUGUUUAGGUGUGGUUUGCUUGCUCUCAACUUGCUAGGAAAUAGUUGUUUUGGAGUUGCUGAAAUAUUUCUAAGUCUGAAAUCUGUUAUAUUUCGUUGUUGUCUUGUCUUGAGUUUAUCCGGUGAUAUGUAGCUCUUUUGAGUUUGGUGCAAUGGAGUUAGUUGUAGAAUUUAGGAUUCUCUAGCAUGCCAUGAAUUUUCAUGCCAUUUGGAGUCAUGUAGCUUAUGGUUUUGCUUCUGUCAAUAUGCCUUCAGAUCGAAAACUGCACUUUCAGGAACUGUUAUUCUCACUAAGUGUGAAACUGUGUGUGAGAUGCCCUUUUAUGACUUCUUUUCCUAGUGAUCCAUGCUUCCAUGCUAGGUGUUAUUAGUUGUAUGUUGUAGUGCUUCUUGCCCUUUAUCGUCUCAUGCCUUGUUUGAGCCUUUUGGAUUUAUAUAGCUCGUAGUUGUGGGAUGUAGAAAAUGCUAUGUGGCUGAUUUUGGCAGACUGUAGUGAUUUCUUGUUUUACUCGUAGUUGUUGAACCGUUGCUUCAUUUUGAUCGUGUCCUAUACGAAACUUGCUUAGAAUCUCGUGUAGUUUCGUAUUAUCUUGCUGAUUGUGUGUUUUGGAAUGCUUGUGACUGUCGUUGCACACAUAUUGCAUACAUGUCAUCACAUCUUGCGGUGUUCGUAUCUUUUGAACCGUAGCUCCGUUGGAGAUGUUCUCUAUGUGUAAAUUGCUUUUAACGAUGCGUAGAAUCACAUUAACCUAGAAUGACAUAUAGCAUGAGUUUAAACGUGUUAGUUCAGAUCUGGACAGAAUUGUUAAUUAACAUGUGAGGUCGUUUCGGAGAUGCUAUAUGUCAUUUCCGACCUCAUUUAAAAUGUCUAGAUAGGUACUUUAAUUACGCUUCACCUCUUGCCAUGUUUAACCACAUUUAAUAUUGUUGUGUAUCUAAUCGGGAUAGAACUAAAUAAUCCUUAUGUGGAGUUUCGUCAAUAUGCAACUCGUUGUAUAUUGAACUUCGCUUAAUGUGUAGUGUUUGAUUGUUGUGUUCGCUAUGGUGUCUUGCAUAUGUUCAGCUGAUCAUGUAUCAUAUGUGGAUUGCAUCUUGUCGUGCAUAUGCCGUGGUGAAUAUCGUCUGUUGAUUCUUGUUCCCGGUUUCCUUCGUCUCGAUAGAGUUCCGCAAGCAUGUCGGAUUGUGAGGACCCGUUCGACUAUGUCGGUUUGUGUGCUUCACGGAGUCGUACUUCUUCCAAGCGGGAUCUCAGGCAAGAUGAACAUUUCCCAGAUACCAUUACUAUCAUUGCCAUGCUUGUUUUACCGUUUCUAUCGUUAUGUCUCGUUGCCUACCACAUGUUAAAUAUCAGCCUCUCAACAAUGCCAUGAAAACCUUCAACUUGUUCACAACCUAGCAAACCACUGAUUGGCUAUGUUACCGCUUGCUUAACCCUGUGUUAGCGUUGCUAGUUGCAGGUGCAGUUGUUCCCUGUGAAAACAUCAGUUCUUUGAUUUAUCAUCCUAUUGAAUGCUAUUUAAAUUAAUGCACCUGUAUACUUGGUAAAAGGUGGAAGGCUUGGCCUUUCUAGCCUGGUGUUUUGUUCCAACUUUGCCCCCUUAGUUUCGGCUACCGGUGUUAUGUUCCAUAAUUGAGUGCUCCUAACAUGAUCGGGGUUGUUAUGGGGACCCCCUUGAUAAUUCGUUUUAGAUUAAGACUGGACUGGCAAGGCCCAACUUUGGUACUACAUUUGCCUAAACACCUAAUAAAAUUGCAUAGGGACUUUCCGGAUCCCGAGGAUAAUUAAUCAACCCCCGGGAUAGUGCUCUGCAUGAGUGUUGGUCCAAACUGGUAGACUACGGGGCCACCGCGGGGCAACCCGAGGUUUGGUUUCUCCUAGUGUGACCCAUCAGUCGUGUCCUGAGAACGAGAUACGCGGCUCCUAUUGGGUUCGUCAACACGUCGGGCGGCCUUGCUGGUUUAGUUUUACCUUUGACGAAAUAUCUUGUGCAUCGGAAUUCCGGUGAUGCUUUGGGUAAUCUCAGAGUUGAGGUUUUCCACUAAGGAGUCCGACGAGAUCGGGAGCUUCGUGAUCGAGGAUUUCUAUGCGGCUUGUGGUAAUUUGUGAUGGACUAGUUGGAGCACCCCUGCAGGGUUAAAUCUUUUCGAAAAGCCAUGCUCGUGGUUAUGUGGCAACGUGGAAACUUUGUUUAACACUGGUUCUAGAUAACUUGAAGUUAACUUAAUUAAAACAUGCCAACUGAGUUUGUAACCGUGACUAUCUCUUUCGUGAGAUCCUUCUCCGAUCAAGGACACGGUGGCGUUAUGUCUGAAGUAGGUAGGUGUUGAGGAUCAUUCAUUUGAUCAUCAGUAGUCACAUCCACUAUGCGUUGAUCUUCCCCCUCUUAUUUCUUGUACUCGUAAGUUUAGCCACCAAAUAUAUGCUUAGUUGCUUGUUGCAGCCUCACCACUUAACCAUACCUCACCUAAUAAGCUUUGCUAGUCUUGAGACCUUUGGAAAUGAGAUUUUUGAGCCCCCUGUGGCUCACAGAUUACUACAACACUAGUUGCAGGUACAGGUAAAGGUUAGUUCAAGCGAGCGCGUUGAUUGUUGACUUGGAGUUGCUUCUUUUUCUUCUUCUUCAUCGAUCUAGGAUGGGUUCCAGGCCGGCAGCCUGGGAUAGCAAGGAUGGAUGUCGUUUUCUUUUCUUAUUUGUUUCCGUCCGUAGUCGGACCCUGCUCUUCUUCUUGAUGUUUAUGUAUUGUACUCAUGUGACUCUGAUGUAGCUUGUGGCGGGUGUAACCAAUUCUAUAUAUCUCUUCUUUUCAGAACAUGUACUUGUAACGAUAUCCAUUCUUGCAAAACGACGAGAUGCGCUUCUAUCCCUGAUGAGGCCCUCGUGCCAAAUUAGGGAUAGGGUCGCAUCUGGGCAUUUCAAGUUGGUAUCAGAGCAGUACGGACCUAGGAGCCCCCUUGAUUGAUCGAACAUGGCGAGUCGAGUCUAGUGAAAAAUUGCUCUGAGUCUAGUUAUAUAUCGGAGAGUAGGAUUCUUUUUUCUCCUCUUCUACGCUCUAGUGAGGAUUCUUGACGUAAUAUUUCAAUUCUACUCCUCUUCUCACUCAAAAAAAUUUAGGAUUACACGGAUAUUCUUGGAAUCUAUAUGAUGUCGAUGUGACGGAGUUCUGUCUUGGUGCCUCCUAUCUGACUUGGUUUCUUCCGGGGAGUUGAGCUCCAGGGGAUGCUCGAGCACAUCGUUAUCAUUCAGAUUUCUUUGUAUCUCAGGACGAAGGAUGUUCGUAAUUGCUUCAAUACUAGUAGUGGCGAGAUAACCCCGAUGUCCCCAGUACUGGUGUAGAUUGUUCGGGAGUACUGCCAUACUUUGUAUCGUUGUGAUCACGAGGGUCUGUAGUAGAUGAAGGUCCGAGAUUCUGUUAUGUGUUGACGGAUGUGAUACAAUGGACGGGUUAGUAUAGGAGUUGUGUGAUAUAUUAGUCCUUGUAUCCGUGGACCAGAUUGCAUGACCACAAAUUUCGGGAGUUCUUAGGUGGGAAUUCAAGUAGUUACUUAUAGGACAAUUUUCCAACAAAUGCAUGAUGUUAGCUUGGGGUUCGACAUCUAGUGGAUUCGUUUGUUUACGAUCGUCUUACAGCGGUUCUUGUUGUGUCUUAAAGAGUCCUUGUAGCUUGCUAUGACUCGGGGACGCUUCGUAUGUCGUGUGCACUGCCUUGCACAGGAUGGCUACUGUAAGGAUCGAGCUCGUGCGAUCCUGUCCACGAAAAUAUCAAACGGAAAUCUUUCUCAAGAAUUUGUUAUGGCUUGUUUCAUAAGCCUCAUCUUUUGUUUUGUGGGAAUUUGGUAAUUCGAGUUGCUUCGAUGUCAAGUGGUGAUUUCAGAUCUUUCCUAAGCAGUGCUCUCAUAUUCAUGUGAGAACGCUAAUUCUUUUUCUCAAUCAGUUUGUCUUAUCAUUUCUUGUCGACCGGAGUCGUCAUGGCAAUUCUUUCCAAAUGGUGUGUUUCUCUUCAAGUAAUUCAAUCCUCUCCAAUUUUGCAAAGUCAUUCUCUCAUUUCUUUCCGGAGUUUGUCUCAUCUGUCCCAAGUUGUAUUUGUUUUCCCGCCCUCCCGCCCUUUUUCUUCAGUGAUUGGAUUUCAUCCAAGUGCCUUUCUUUUCAUCAAUGCUUCCUCUAUGUGUUCUUUUCUCUCUUAGCCAGUGAUUCAUUGUGAAGAUUCCCAGGAGUUCUGAGUUCAUCAUUUUUCAUUCUUGUUUUCUUCCCCGGUGGAUUCUAUUCAAGCUUUUGGUGUCAUCAUAUCCUUUUCAUCCUUGUAAUUCUUUCCCAUGUUGGAAAUUCUUAUCAGCCCAUCUUGUUUAUUCAUUUGUCUCUAUUCUACCCGGAGCGUUGAAGAUGUCUGAAAGUUUCUUGUUUUCAAUUCUUUAAUUAUUUCGAGGGCCUCACCUCAUUUAGUCUUCUUUGUACCGGUGCAAUAUCUCCCUUUCUAAAUAAUCUUUUCAACGGUGGUUCCUUUUCAGUGGGCCCAUAACCCACAGGUUUUUUCCAGGAUCGUAUCUCGCUCUUCUAAUCCUUCCAGAGAUCUUUAAUUCUUUUCAACUAUGACAUAAGUAUGAAUUUCAUCAGUCAUAUCCCUUCUCCAAGAUCAAUUUGAAUUAAUUCUCAUAUUCGGCUCAACCUUUCAUUCUUCUUAUUCCGGAGUGUCUCGGUAGCUCUUGGUGGUGUUCUCCUCAUCAUUUUUAGCUUAGAAGACAGAAGGGGUGUUUCUCUCAAAUCUUGGUUCAUUCUGUCGAAGAUUGUCAUAUCAGUCUUGUGUUAUCUUCUUAAUUGUUGUCAAUCAUGAGUAUCCCUUUCUUGCUAUCCGGUGCAUUUCUGAGUUGUUUGCAUUCUCGACCCUCCGAAGGCCAUCAUUUCAGAAGAUUUUGUUCGUUCUCAGCUUGCAGCUUUCAUUCUCAAAUUCUUCUUAAUUGUGUCUCUUUGUUCGUCUCUCAAUUAUUCUGGUGUUUUGUUCAAGUUUUUCUCUCAGGUGGCUCAUGAUCUCUUCAUUCAUUGAUGUUCGUCUCAUUCGUUUCAAUUCUUAUCGGUGUCUCCUUCAAGACUUCGUCUAGUUUGUGCUCAUAUAUCUCCUCAAUCAUUUCUAGAAUAAUAAUUUGUAUGCUAAAUCCGUUGGUUGUCAUCAAUUUAAUUUGAUGAAGGAUGAGCAUAACAUAAUUCUUAUUCUUGUUCUUCCUUCUUCCAGGAGAUUUCAAUUCUUCUUCCGGAGCGGCUCAUGAUAUCAAUUCAUUCUCAAAGUGUUCUUUAAGAUUCUUGUUGGAGAACAUCAAGUAUCCUUUCUCUUGCAUUUCAAAGUGCAAUUCUUCCUCCUUUAUCCUUUGAGGUGGUAUUAUAGCGUUCUGUUAGUGUAGUAGUCUCGAAGAGAAGUUGUCUCAAGUAAAUAUGUAAACCCACCGAUUAUAUGAUCAUGAGAUUUUUCCAAACCCAUGGUUUCUUCAUUGACCUAUCUUGGUUGAGACUUCACCUAAAGCUUUAUCUAAGGAUUUUCGCUAUUAUGGUGUUGCCAUUAAUCCUAGUUUUCAAUGUAUCCUCUUGGUGUAAGAAGUUUUGCUUAUCUUGUUUCCCGAAACAAUCCUUGUUUCUGUUAGUACCUAGUUGUCACUUCAUUAGUUUGAAAAGGUUUCCAUAAGCCCACUACUAUCUUGUUCUUUUCGUUGUUCUUUUUCCAACAACUCCGUUCAAUUCUUCUUGCAAGGAUGCUUGCCACGUUCAUUUGCGAUAAUAGUUGUCAUUCUUUUCUUCAUUCUCUUCUUUCGUAUGAGCUAGUUCCUAUUCUAUUGUUCCGGAGGCAUUGUGAUGUUCCUCUUUUGGGUCUAUCAUCUUGUUCUCUCAAGAUCAUGGUGUUCCCUUGUUCUAUUUAGUUGUUAGUUAUGACUCUUGUCUAAUUCUCCCAUCUUAUCGAAUUUUUGUCCCCUUUUCCUACCGAAGUGCUGCCGGAAUUUUCUGUGAAUUGCUGCUAGUUCCUCAUAUCAUUCCUCCUCUCUUUGCAACCAUCAAGGCUCGUUGGUUUCACUCAUUUGUCAAAGAAGCAACUAAGUUUUACCUCGUGCGCUUUCUCUUCCUCUUAUCGUUUCAUUCUUGGAUCUCGGGUCGAGAUCCUCUUGUAGUGUAGGAGAGUUGUGACAUCCGGAUGCCGAUGUUCCAAAAGAUUCCCCCUUUAUUCCGUUUUCAUCCUGUGUCUAUUUUUAUUUAUCGCAUCAUCAUGCGGAUCAUCUGCAUUGCAUCGGCAUCCCGUUGUCGUCAGUUUACAAAACUUGCAUCCGUUGUUAGUUGCCGGUUCUCGUCGUUGUCCGUUCUCAGCCCGACCACACACGCACGUGCCCGCGGCAUCGUCAAAACCCUGUUUUAAAAGUGUGUAUAAAACUUUUUCUGUUUGGGUUGAGACAUGGUGUGCGGUCUUUAUAUAUUAUAGGUAGACCGCUACUACGGCGACAACAGACCUUUCCCGGCAACGGUGCCAGAAAUCCUUCUGCUGCUGGCUACGCCUAAAGGGACUUCCUUGGCAAAUAUGAAAAGGAUUCCCCCGCGGCCUUGGAGCCUUGCGUUGGUGUUCCCUUGAAGAGGAAAGGGUGAUGUAGCACUGCGGCGGUAAGUAUUUCGCUCAGUUUGAGAACCAAGGUAUCAAUCAAGUAGGAGGACCGCGUCAAGUCACAAGUACCUGCACAAACACAAAGAGCUUGCAACCAACGCUACGAAGGGGUUGUCAAUCCCUUAUAGAUUGUUUGCAAAGUGAGAAUUGAAAGCAAAAAGUAAACAAAGCAAACUAAAAGUAAAAGUGGAGAUGAUAGUUGUGAAUAGACCCGGGGGCCGUAGUGUUCACUAGUGGCUUCUCUCAUGAAAGCAAGUAGACGGUGGGUGAACGAAUUACUGUCGAGCAAUUGAUAGAACCCCGCAAAGUCAUGAUGUUAUCUAUGGCAACGAUCAUAUCUAUAGGCAUCGCGUCCAAAACAAGUAGACCGAUACUUUCUGCAUCUGCUACUAUUACUCCACACGUCGACCGCUAUCUAGCUUGCAUCUAGUGUAUUGAGUUCAUAAGAACAGAGUAACACCUUAAGCAAGAUGACAUGAUGUAGAUGGACAAUCUCAAAUCUAUGAUGAAAGCCCAUCUUGUUACCCUUGAUGGCAACAACACGAUGCGUGCCUUGCUGCCCCUUCUGUCACUGGGAAAGGUCACCGCACGGUAUGAACCCAAAACCAAGCACUUCUCCCAUUGCAAGAAUCAUAGAUCUAGUUGGCGAAACAAAACCCAAGACUCGGAGAGACUUACAAGGAUAUCAAAUCAUGCAUAUAAGAAAUCAGCAAAGACUCAAAUAUAACUUAUAGAUAAUCUGAUCACAAAUCCAUAAUUCAUCGGAUCUCGACAAACACACCGCCAAAGAGGAUUACAUCGGAUAGAUCUCCAUGAAGAUCAUGGAGAAAUUUGUAUUGAAGAUCCAAGAUAGAGAAGAAGCCAUCUAGCUACUAACUACGGACCCGUAGGUCUGAAGUGGACUACUCACGAGUCAUUGGAGAGGCAAUGAUGUUGAUGUAGAAGCCCUCCAACUCCAAAGUCCCCUCCGAAAGGGCACCGGGAAGGGUCUCCAGAUGAGAUCUUGCGGAAACAGAAGCUUGCGGCGGCGGAAAAGUGGUUUCGUGGACGCCCUGAUUUUUUCUGGGAUUUUAGGGAAUAUAUAGGCCAAAGAGCUAGGGUAGGGGAGCGCCAGGGAGGCCACAAGCCUGGUGGCCGCGGGCCCCCCUGGCCGCGGCGUCAGGGCUUGUGGGCUCCCUGUGGGCCUUCUGCCUUGGCCCUCAAGUCCCCCGAUCUUCUUCCGUUCUGGAAAAAUUCAUUUCGGGGAUUUUAUUCUGUUUGGACUCUGUUCCAAAAUCAGAUGUGAAAAGAGUCAAAAACACAGAAAAAACAGGAACUGGCACUUGGCACUGAAUUAAUAAGUUAGUCCCAAAAAAGAAAAAAAGGUAUAUAAAACAUCCAAAGUUGACAAGAUAACAGCAUGAAGCCGUCAAAAAUUAUAGAUACGUUUAGGACGUAUCAAGCAUCCCCAAGCUUAACUCCUGCUCGUCCUUGAGUAGGGAAGUGAUAAAGAAUGAAUUUUUGAUGCUUUCAUGCUACCUAUCAUAGAUGUCCUUUGUAACUCCUCUUAUGUGAUGUGAAUGUUUAGAUCCAUUAGAUUCAAAACAAUAGUUUGCUAUUGACGUGGAGACAAUAAUACUUCAAGCAAACUAGCAAGGUAAUCACGAACUUUCAAAAUAACAAGGCCAAAAGAAAGUUAUCCCUACAAAAUCAUAUAGUCUGGCUAUGCUCUAUCAUCCUUGCACAACGGAUUUAAAUCAUGCACAACCUCGGUAUUGGCCAAGUAAUUGUUUUCACACUUUUACUUUCUCAAACUUUUUCAACUCUCACAAAAUACAUGAGCGUGAGCCAUGGUUUUAACACUAUAAGUGGAAUGGAGUGUGGUGGAGGUUGCAAGGCAAACAAGGAGAAGAUGGUCACAUUGACUAGGCAUAUCAACGAGCUAUGGAGAUGCUCAUCAAUAGGUAUCAACGUGAAUGAGUAGGGAUUGCCAUACAAAUGAUGCACUAGAUCUAAUAGUAUGUGAAAGCUCUUAAAGAAAACUAGUGGGUGUGCAUCCAACUUGCUUGCUCACGAAGACCUAAGGCAAUUUUCAGGAAGCCUAUCAUUGGAAUAUACAAGCCAAGUUAUAUAAUGAAAAUUUCCCACUAGCUAUAUGGUGGUGACAAAACGAGAGACUCUCAAUCAUGAGGAUCAUGGUGCUUAAUAAGCACAAGUGUGGAAAGAUAGUAGCAUUGUCCCUUCUCUCUUUUUCUCUCAUUUUUUUGGUGGGCUCUUUGGCCUCUUUUUUUGGUGGGCAUCUUUGGCCUCUUUUUGUAAAUGGGCUUCGCUGGCAUCUUUUAUUUCCUUGCAUGGGACAAUGCUCCAUCAAUGAUGAUCAUCACACUUACAACUCAAAACUUAGAGCAAUGACGACUCUAUAUGGAAUGCCUUCGGUAGUGUACCGUGACAAUGAUCUAGCAUGGCAUAGACAUCAAUGGAACCAUCAUGCUAGCUAUCUUAUGAUCUUACAAUGGCAAUGUAGAAGUGGUGGCACAUGUCAUGGUGGUAGUUGCAUGGCAAUAUAUCUCGGAAUGGCUUUGAAAAUGCCAUAGUAGGUAGGUAUGGUGGUUGUUUUGAGGGAGGCUAAAUGGUGGGUUUUGUGCACCGGCGAAAGUUGCACGACACAAAAGAAGAUAGUGAUGGUGGAAGGUGAAAGUGCAUCUAAACCAUGGACUCAACAUUAGUCAUGAAGAACUCAUAUACUUGUUGAAAAAGUUUUAGUAGUAAUCGAAACAAAGCAUUCAACGCAUACUCCUAGGGGAAUGGUUGGUAGGUAUAAACCAUCGCGCGAUACCGACCGCCACACACAGGAUGACAAUCAAUAGACUAAUCAUGCUUAGACUUCAUCACAUAGCGGUUCACCAUACCUGCAUGCUACAGGAAUCACUAACUUCAACACAAGUAUUUCUAGAUCCACAACACCUUACUAGUAUAACUUCAAUAUUACCACAACCACAACUCAAAACUAAUUGAGAUGAAUCAAACUUCUCUAACUAUUCAAUGCACAUGAAGGUGGAAGUUUUCAUAUCCCUUUGGAUAACUACCCCUUUUGAGACUACUUUCAUAGCAUAGAUCAACUACCACGCCACGCGCUUCCAUGCUCUAAAAGAUAGAAGUGAAACUCAUAGAGCAAAAUCAACUAGCUCAAAAGAUAUAAGUGAAACACAUGUGAGAUGAAUUGCCUAAUCAAAGGAUAUAAGUGAAGCUCGACAGAAUCACGGUGAGUGCAUGUCUCUCUCUCUAGGUGUGCAGCAAGGAAGAUUGUGACACAACAAAAAUAAAAGACUCCUACAAUACAAGACGCUCCAAGCAAAACACAUAACAUGUGGUGAAUAAAAAUAUAACCCCAAGUAACGUUACCGAUGGAUUGAAGAUGAAAGAGGGGAUGCCUUCCUGGGGCAUCCCCAAGCUUAUGCUUUUAUGGAAUCCUUGUAUAAACUUGGGAUGCCUUGGGCAUCCCCAAGCUUGAGCUCUUGCCACUCUUUAUCUCUUUGUCCAUAAGAACUUCACCCAAGACUUGAAAACUUCACAACACGAAACUUAAAGAGAAACUCGUGAUAACAUUAGUAUAAGAAAGCAAACCACCACUUCCUUAGGUACUGUAGCAAACUUAAAUUCUACUUAUGUUGCUGUUGGGUUACUAUAUUUUCAACCUUCCAUGGCUAAUACCCCCCGAUACUAUCCAUAGUUUCAUCAAAAUAAGCAACCAACUCAACAAAAACAGAAUCUGUUUAACAGCAGACCACUCUGUAGCAAUCUGUCUACUUCGUAUACUUCUGGUACUUCAAAAUUCUGAAAACUUAUGACUGUCUGAAGAAUUUGUGUAGAAAUCAGCAGCAAAAAGAAUCAACUCAAAAGCUCUUACAGAAAAAAUGAAAAUUCUUUUCGUGAGCAGAAAGUUUCUGUAUUUUCCAGCAUGACCAAACGAUCAUCCCCAAGACUAAUCAUAACGGUUUUACUUGGCACAAACGCAAAAGAAACACAAAAAACACAAUCAUAACAGAAUUAUGAAAGUGUGGAAAACACAAAACAGAAAGAAAAAGGAUAGAUUCGUUGGGUUGCCUCCCAACAAGCGCUAUUGUUUAACGCCCCUAGCUAGGCAUUGAUAAUUCAAUGGUGCUCACACAAAAGACAAGAAUUGAAGCACAACGAGAGUAUCAUAAAGAAUGUGAAAAUCACAGAUAAGUCUAACAUACUUCUUAUGCAUAGGCAUUUUAUAGGAAAACAGAUUGUCAAGACAACCAAUAGUUACCAUAUGCAAGGAAGAAGAAAGAGACAAUAGCAAUCUCCGCAUAACGAGAGGUAAUUGGGUAAAAUGAAAGUUUCUACCACAAUAUUUUCCUCUCUCAUAAUAAUUACAUAUGGGAUCAUAUUUGAAUUCAACAAUGUAACUAUCACAAAGGAUAUUAUUUUCAUGAUCCACAUGCAUGCAAAGUUGAUGCUCUUCGAAAAUAGAGGGAUUAUCAUCAACUAUAGUCAUGACUUCUCCAAACCCACUUUAAAUAAUAUUGCAAAUAUCAUAUUCAUCAUUAGGCUUAAACAAAUUUUCAAGACCAUAAGAAAAAUCAUCGCCCCACUCAUGAUCAUUUCAACAAGUAGUGGACAUAGCAAAACUAGCAUCCCCAAGCUUAGGGUUUUGCAUAUUCUUAGCAUGAUUGUCAGUAAUAGAAUUUAUAGUGAAACCAUUGCAAUCAUGCUUUUCAUCCAAGGAGCCCUCGUGAGUCACUUCAUAAAUUUCUUCAUCACGAUUUUCAAAUUCACGCAUCUCAAGCAAAACUCCAUAAAGAUAGUCAAGUGCACUCAACUCACUAGCAAUUGGAUCAACACAAUUGGAUCUCUUAAAGAGAUUAACAAGUGGAUGAGGAUCCAUAUCACUAGAUUUUCAGCAAGCGAAGAUGCAAGCAUAUUGAAGGCACAUGGCAACACAAGCAAACAGAAAGCAAGCGAAAGAAAGGGAGAACGAAAAAGGCAAACGAAAAAGGCAAAUAGGUGAAGUGGGGGAGAGGAAAACGAGAGGCAACUAGCAAACAAAGUAAAAGCAAGAGAUGAGUUUGUGACAUUUACUUGGAUGAGUUCUUGACUUGAUCUCUCCCCGGCAACGGCGCCAGAAAUCCUUCUGCUACGACGACAACAGAUGUUUCCCGGCAAUGGCGCGAGAAAUCCUUCUGCUGCUGGCUACGCCUAAAGGGACUUCCUUGGAAAAUAUGCAAAGUAUUCCCCUGCGGCCUUGGAGCCUUGCGUUGGUGUUCCCUUGAAGAGGAAAGGGUGAUGUAGCACUGCGGCGGUAUGUAUUUCCCUCAGUUUGAGAACCAAGGUAUCAAUCUAGUAGGAGGAUCGCGUCAAGUCACAAGUACCUGCACAAACACAAAGAGCUUGCAGCCAACGCUAUGAAGGAGUUGUCAAUCCCUUAUAGAUUGUUUGCAAAGUGAGAACUGAAAGCAAAAGGUAAACAACGCAAAGUAAAAGUAAAAGUGGAGACGAUAGUUGUGAAUAGACCCGGGGGACAUAGUGUUCACUAAUGGAUUCUCUCGUGAAAGCAAGUAGACGGUGGGUGAACGAAUUACUAUCGAGCAAUUGAUAGAACCGCGCAAAGUCAUGACGUUAUCUAUGGCAAUGAUCAUAUCUAUAGGCAUCACAUCCAAAACAAGUAGACCGAUACUUUCUGCAUCUACUACUAUUACUCCACACGUCGACCGCUAUCCAGCAUGCAUCUAGUGUAUUGAGUUCAUAAGAACAGAGUAACGCCUUAAGCAAUAUGACAUGAUGUAGAUGGACAAUCUCAAAUGUAUGAUGAAAGCCCAUCUUGUUACCCUUGAUGGCAACAACAGGAUGCGUGCCUUGCUACCCCUUCUGUCACUCGGAAAGGUCACCACACGGUAUAAACUCAAAACCAAGCACUUCUCCCAUUGCAAGAAUCAUAGAUCUAGUUGGCCAAACAAAACCCAAGACUCGAAGAGACUUACAAGGAUAUCAAAUCAUGCAUAUAAGAAAUCAGCAAAGACUCAAAUAUAAUUCAUAGAUAAUCUGAUCACAAAUCCACAAUUCAUCGGAUCUCGACAAACACACCGCCAAAGAGGAUGACAUCGGAUAGAUCUCCAUGAAGAUCAUGGAGAACUUUAUAUUGAAGAUCCAAGAGAGAGAAGAAGCCAUCGAGCUACUAACUACGGACCCGUUGGUCCGAAGUGGACUACUCACGAGUCAUUGGAGAGGCAAUGAUGUUGACGUAGAAGCCCUCCAACUCCAAAGUCCCCUCCGGCAGGGCACCGAGAAGGGUCUCGAGAUGAGAUCUCGCGGAAACGGAAGCUUGCGACGGCGGAAAAGUGGUUUCAUGGGCGCCCUGAUUUUUUCUGUGAUUUAAGGGAAUAUAUAAGCCAAAGAGCUAGGGCAGGGGAGCGCGAGGGAGGCCACAAGCCUGGUGGCCGCGGGCCCCCCUGGCUGCGGCGUCAGGGCUUGUGGGCUCCGUGUUGGCCUCCUACCUUCGCCCUCAAGUCCCGCGAUCUUCUUCCGUUUUGGAAAAAUUCAUCUCGGGGAUUUUAUUCCGUUUGGACUCCGUUCCAAAAUCAGAUCUGAAAAGCGUCAAAAAAAAGGAACUGGCACUUGGCACUGAAUUAAUAAGUUAGUCCCAAAAAAAGAUAAAAAAUGUAUAUAAAACAUCCAAAGUCGAAAAGAUAAUAACAUGAAACCGUCAAAAAUUAUAGAUACGUUUGAGACAUAUCAACCGCGUGUCAAAUUUCGUCACAAUCGGAGUCCGUCUGGUACCCGAAUGGUCGACCGUAGCGGCACCAUAUUCGGUCUAUCAUCGGACGUUUGGCAGUGUUUUUAAAUACGUUGUCGGGUGUCGUUUCCCUCUCUUCUCCGGCUAACCUACUCUACACGGCCACUUAGCCCGUCUCGCGUUCGGAAUUGUUCGAAUACGACCGCGCGGUUGAAACCGGGGUGAAAUUCUACUAAACCUAGCCCCCCAUUGUAUAUAAAUAGAAACCUCCCCUUCCAUUUUUAGCCUCUCCCUAAUCCCUCCUCGUUUUCCGCACAACCCCCUGAAACUCUAGCUGCCAUCUCCUCCAGCAGCCUCUCUCUCUCCCCAGCCGCCGCGGGCCCGUCAAGCCCAUCCGAGCCCUGCCCGGGCCCGGAUCGCCCCGCAGUCGCGCUGCCUCCCGCAGCAUCCCCCUCGCUGCGUUGCCUGCUCCUGGCUCAAANACCCCGCGUCGACGUCCUGCGCUCGUGGAGCCGCCGCCAGCAGCUGUCGCCGGAGGACCUCGUGGCUCUACUGCCAGAUCCGUCGGGAGGAGCCCCUUUGACCGCUCGCGAGAGCUCGGUCGCUCGCGUGGGCCAGCGCCCAGAUCUGGCCUGCGUCGCCUUCGGCCUGCUUCCGAGAUGGGCCAGAUUCGAGCCGGCCCAAUGCCUCCUCGCCGGCCUGGGCUAGGCCCGAGGUGAGCACCUCCUCUUCCCUGCUAUCUAGCGCCCAGUGCGUUGUUUAGUUGAUUUGCGCCCAUGCUCAGUUCAGCCCAAGUAUAGAUUCGGCCCGAAGGUUUUUUUAAUUCCUAAGCUAGUUAUUUUCACGAGAUAGAGUAAUAUGAAAACGCGUGUAACUUUUUAACCGUGCGUCGGAUCGAGAUGAUCUAUCUAUGGAUCUUGUGUAGUUUUGCGCGUAGAUUCGUAAUUCACAACUUGCAUGCAUGUUUGAAGUGAUUUCACCCGCCAUAUGCCUAGUUUAACGUGUUGUCCCAAUAAGGGAUCGUCCCGUAUUAUUUUUCGUGCGUGUACGGAUUACUCAAACCCCGUAGAUAAAAUGCUCAUGUUUUAGGAACCCUAUUGCCAUGUAUUUUAGAGUAGUGGUUUGUAUUUUUGCAUAUAGGAUUUCGUCGCUAGUUUAGUAUAUUGUGUUUAGGACAUAUUCUCGCAUAUACGUGUGGCGAUAUUUUUGUCUUGCAACCCCACAUGUUAUAUAUGUUUUCGGGGUAGAAAAAUCCAUAGAAUUUAAAUGUGUAUUUAGUUUUAGCUUUUGAGCAAGUUAGUUCGCGUGAUGUUUUGCCGUCUUGCCCUUUUGUUAUUUUUUGUGGGAUUUAAUCCAUGCUUGAUAUGAAGGAGUUGUCAACUAGAGAUAUGCUCUUGGAUGUUUAGUCUAGCCUCUGGUAAUUUUGGUUGCAAUAGAAAUCCAUGUUUAGGUGUGGUUUGCUUGCUCUCAACUUGCUAGGAAAUAGUGUUGUUUUGGAGUUGCUGAAAUAUUUCCAAGUCUGAAAUCUAUUAUAUUUUGUUGCUGUCUCGUCUUGAGUUUAUCUGGUGAUCUGUAGCUCUUUUGAGGUUGGUGCAAUGGAGUUAGUUGUAGACGUUAGGAUUCUCUAGCAUGCUGUAAAUUUUCAUGCCAUUUGGAGUCUUGUAGCUUAUGGUUUUGCUGUUGUCAGUAUGCCUUGAGAUCGAAAACUGCAGUUUCAUAAACUGUUAUUUUCACUAAGUCUGAAACUGUGUGUGAGAUGCCCUUUUGUGACUUCUUUUCCUAGUGAUCCAUGCUUCCAUGCUAAGUGUUCUUAGUUGUACGUUGUAGUGCUUCUUGCCCUCUAUCGUCUCAUGCCUUGUUUGAUCCUUUUGGAUUUAUGUAGCUCGUAGUUGUGGGUCGUAGAAAAUGCUAUGUGGCUGAUUUUGGCAGAUUGUAGUGAUUUCUUGUUUUGCUCAUAGUUGUUGAACCGUUGCUCCAUUUUGAUCGUGUCCUAUAUGAAACUUUCUUAGAAUCUCGAGUAGUUUCAUAUUAUCUUGCUGGUUGUGUGUUUUGGAAUGCUUGUGACCGUCGUUGCACACAUAUUGCAUACAUGCCAUCACAUCUUGCGGUGUUCGCAUCUUUUGAACCGUAGCUCCAUUGGAGAUGUUCUCUAUGUGUACAUUGCUUGUAACGACGCGUAGAAUCACUUUAACCUAUUUUUUGCUGUUUAAAAAACUUUUAAACGUGUUAGUUCAGAUCUGGACAGGAUUGUUAAUUAACUUGUGAGGUUGUUUCGGAGAUGCUAUAUGUCAUUUCCGACCUCAUUUAAAAUGUCUAGAUAGGUAGUUUAAUUACGCUUCACCUCUUGCCAUGUUUAACCAUAUUUAAUAUUGUCAUGUAUCUAAUCGGGAUAUAACUAAAUAAUCCGUAUGUGGAGUUUCUUCAAUAUGCAACUCGUUGCAUAUUGAACUUCACUUAAUGUGUAGUGAUUGAUUGUUGUGAAUCAUCAUGCCAUGUCUUGCAUAUAAUAAUCUGAUCAUGCAUCAUAUGUGGAUUGCAUCUUGUCGUGCAUAUGCCGUGCUGAAUAUCGUGUGUUGAUUCUUGUUGUCGGUUUCCUUCAUCUCGAUAGAGUUCCGCAAGCAUGUCGGAUUGUGAGGACCCGUUCGACUACGUCGGUUCAUCUGCUUCAUGGAGUCGUUCUUCUUCCAAGCGGGAUCUCAGGCAAGAUGACCUUUUCCCCAGAUACCAUUACUAUCAUUGCCAUGCUAGUUUUACCAUUUCUAUCGUUAUGUCUUGUUGCCUACCACAUGUUAAAUAUCAGCCUCUCAACAAUGCCAUGAAAACCUUCAACAUGUUCACAACCUAGCAAACCACUGAUCGGCUAUGUUACCACUUGCUUAACCCUGU